UUGUGAUUUCACUCCAGCAAAAGGCAAACUCUCAGGAGCUCCUUUCUUUUGGGUCUGGAAUGGUGACACCUGAACUGCGUCACUGGCAGGUUAAUUCAGGCUCUGAUUUCACUCACUGCUCUGUGCUGAGCUCCUGCCAAACAGCUGGAAAGAGUGGGAGGAGGAUCCUCCCCCACCCCCAGGAAGGGAUCAGCGCUUCACAAAGCAGUGACUAAAUCGUCGCUGCUUUUCCCCCUCUGAACCGUGUCUUUCUGCCGCCGGAGUGAAGGGAAUUUUGCCCCAGACCCGCCAGGUUGAAACCACUAACAAAUCAUUUUCGGACGCGUCUUCCUGCGCAACAAACGGGCCUCGAAGAUCUUCCGGAGGUGGUUCAAAAAUGCAAGCAGUGAAAGGGAAUCUUGGUUUUCUCCUCGGGUGUUUCCAUCUGGAAUACUCUGAAAAACACGGCGAAUCAGUUCAAUUGAGCAGGAACACACUGAAACCCUUCAAAAAACACUCCGGGGAAAACAAUGGCACUUGCAGUGACUUCCCCGCAGCGCGUCGGGGAGGGGAGAACAAAAGGGCCGAUUUAUCGGGCGCGAGAAGAAUGCUGUUAUUGUUCCUUUAUUUCCUACACACACCCACCCAAACAGAAAGGAGCCCUUCCUCGGAACACCACCGGGCCGGGGAUGUCUCAGCUGCUCUGCCCGUGCAGGCAGGAACGCCAAGAACUUUACGGGAUUGCUUAACAAGCUCUGAGCAAGCGGCUCUAACCCCUGGCGAGGGCGUAGGGGUGUGUGUGGGGGGGUUUCGGGCCGAAUUUGCAUAGAGGUGUAAAGAAGCGGCUCUGACUUGUCUCCACCUUUGAAACCCGGUUAAUUGUUCCUUUGAUUCAUUCAUCCACGCUGCCUGGUUAGCAGGGAACACGCCGCCGCUCGUGUUGGAACUCGACCUCGCCAGCGUGUUCCGAGCCCGGACAGAAGGGCUGGUUUGGUCGGCAUCGCCACAAACACCAAACUUCCAGUAAGAGGAGAGGGGUUUCUGCAGGAUGACUGCAGCAGGGGGGCUCGGUGUGACGUCCAUCCCUCCAGCUGAUGGCUGUGCUAUAAAUCAC